rnacentral:rRNA from 1 species
ACUUAAAUUGAAGAGUUUGAUCAUGGCUCAGAUUGAACGCUGGCGGCAGGCCUAACACAUGCAAGUCGAGCGGUAGCACAGAGAGCUUGCUCUCGGGUGACGAGCGGCGGACGGGUGAGUAAUGUCUGGGAAACUGCCUGAUGGAGGGGGAUAACUACUGGAAACGGUAGCUAAUACCGCAUAAUGUCGCAAGACCAAAGUGGGGGACCUUCGGGCCUCGAUGCCAUCAGAUGUGCCCAGAUGGGAUUAGCUAGUA